GGGGAUUUAGCUCAGUGGUAGAGCACUUGCCUAGCAAGCACAAGGCCCUGGGUUCAGUCCCCAGCUCCCCCC
rnacentral:tRNA from 1 species